GUUCGGAUUGUAGUCUGCAACCGACUACAUGAAGCUGGAAUCGCUAGUAAUCGCGGAUCAGAAUGCCGCGGUGAAUACGUUCCCGGGUCUUGUACACACCGCCCGUCACACCAUGGGAGUCGGAAAUGCCCGAAGUCUGUGACCCAACCUACGGGAGGGAGCAGCCGAAGGCAGGUCGGAUGACUGGGGUGAAGUCGUAACAAGGUAAC
rnacentral:rRNA from 1 species